rnacentral:rRNA from 1 species
AAUGAACGCUGGCGGCGUGCCUAACACAUGCAAGUCGGAUGUGCCGCCAGGUGCAUGGCAGCCGGGUGAGUAACGCGUAGGGAAUCUACCUUUUUGUGGGGAAUAACGCUCCGAAAGGAGUGGUAAUACCGCAUGAGACCGUGAGCUGGGAUGUUCACGGUGAAACCUGGGGACCGCAAGGCCUGGGGCAAAACGAGGAUCCUGCGUCUGAUUAGCUAGUUGGCGGGGUAAUGGCCCACCAAGGCGACGAUCAGUAGCCGGCCUGAGAGGGUGAUCGGCCACACUGGAACUGAGACACGGUCCAGACUCCUACGGGAGGCAGCAGUGGGGAAUUUUGCGCAAUGGACGAAAGUCUGACGCAGCAACGCCGCGUGGGUGAUGAAGGUCUUCGGACUGUAAAACCCUGUCGUCAGGGACGAAGGUGGCAGUGUUAAUAGCGCUGCUACUUGACGGUACCUGGAGAGGAAGCCCCGGCUAACUCUGUG